AUAGUUAUUCUUGUAUUAAAAGAGAGAAUAUCAAAUAUAGGCUCCAUUGAUUUUCCUUUUUCUAUUUCCACACAGAAAGCCAAAAAGAGAACGCCUAAGGUCGGCCCAAGUGGUCGAGCCUACGUCGUAAUUUGUGGUAGCGGGGGCCUGCGUUCGCGCGGCCCCUAC